CUUCCAUCUGCCCUGAAUUACUUCCAUUGCUGACCUGCGAGCCGGUCACCGAAGGGUUGGGCUCCCGGGCUGUGCCCAGGAGCUGUCCGUGGCCCUGGGCAUUCAGCUCGCCGAUCGCCUCCAUGGUCAGCUGCGCGUUCAUCGUGAUGCGGGCGAGCGGGCUGCAACAUCGAUGUGGCCGGGCAGAGGCGGCGAGGGGCGCACGGAGUCCAGUCUUCACAUCGGCAGCCGCCGGCGACUGUGGCCUUUCUUCCUCUUACGAGUUCCCAGCACAAAGCUUGGCUCCCUUAGGUAUACUCCAAGGGAAGAGAGAAUUAGAGUCUGUGGAAGAAUUCCUUGAAACUGGAGAGGUAAGUGUGUGAGGUGGAGGGAAGGGUUAUAUUUAACAGCUUUGGUUCUAAGCAACUGCAGGAUAAUUAAAGAAAAAAAUGUCAAAAAUUGUAUUAAAAUACGUGUUUAAAAAACAGGGGUGAAAGUCUCGACUAGAUGCUCGUUACAGUAUUUUCGUAUUGGAAACCAGCUUUUGUGCUUCUGGGGACUGAACCUAGGGCCUUGAGCUAGGUAAAGACUCUAUUAUUGAUGUUUAUUUUGUAAAUGUCUCAAGUGUCUGGGAGUGGGUGGGUAAAUGAAAUGUGUCCUCUGCUAAAUAGGCUUCAGUUUGUGAGGAAACAUCAUCAGACUUGGGGAAAAGGCCAUUCUUGUAAAUACUGGCCACACAAGGUUCUCUGAGAAUGGUCCAUGUGAUUCAGAGUCAAUGGCUUAGUUUUCUUUGUGAGCAGUAGAGAUGUAACAUAUGGACCAUUCAAAAGAAAUGUUUCUCGGCUCUCUGGGCCAUCAGGUGCUCUGUUCCUGUUUGGUAUCUGGCAGUCCUGGGGUUCAGCAAAUGUCCCUACCUAGGACUUCAGGGUGAGAGACCCUUAGCCUCAGCUUCUGAAGCCCUCUAGCCUUUCUGAAGCGUGCAGGGGCUAGCAUGAAACUCCCGGGGAGGGACAUGUGGGUGGCAUCCGGCUACAGCAGAACCCUUGAUAAAUGGGGUGAAGGAUUUGAUUCUAGAUGCUUCCAACAGGGUUCUACUGUCUUCCUCUGGAGUCUUUCCUUUUCUGGAGAAAAUUUAUUCCGAAAAUUGCUGUUGGCGCUUAGAAUAGACAAGAAUUUUAGAACAGGUGGUCUGAUGGUGCAUUAUUGAAAAAAAAUUUAAAACAACAAAUUAAUUCCCAGUUCCAGUGACACCGUUUCCCAACCCCCUCCCCUGCACAAUAGGGGGGAAAUAGUGUCUUCUCAUUCGGGUGGGGCUUCUAAUGCCCCCUUUCAAACUUUGUGCCUGUAUUUUGUGCCUAUAUAGUUUUCAUUCCUCUGUCCGGCUAACCUCCCUCCUCCUUUUCCUUCCUAAAUAUUGUUUUGCGCAUGAAAAUGAUUUUAAACCCAGUACUUUUGCACCACCCAUUCUUUCAACUCCUAUCCCCCCAUAUUCCUCAAGAAGAAGCCUGCGGAAGGGCCAUCAGCUGCCCCUGACCCCCACCUAACAUGGUGUUCCAGGAACUGCUUGGAGCCGCCUCGGUGGCGGUGGGAGAACUGACCACGUGGAGAGCAUCUCUGGUUACUUCCUGGGCAAGGAGGAAAACCACCUGCUCUCCUGGGACCCUGGGUGAACUACCAACGGAAUCUUCUGGGUUGAAACUCUUUCUGGGGGUCGCCUGCUUUGGGUGUCACAGAGGCUGUGGGACUAAGGGAGAGGCUUCUAGCUCCAGGGUGAUGGGUGCCAGAGCCCAGUGCCGGGCAAGGUUAGCCUCACUCCCGGGACGCUGGCCUUCUGUAGUCUGACCUUCAGUGGAUUUUCUCUCUUGGUUAGAAUUAUAUAUUAACGGAGAGAGGCACCCUGCCCAAGGUGGUGAGGGAGCCGGUGAGGAGCCAGUGAAUUUUCCAGAUUUGGGGCAGCGGUGAAUACUCUUUUUCUAGCCCUUGUCCUUUGGAGGUCCGCGAUGGAUUAGCAGUGGCCGUCUGGUGGUGGAGAGUGUCCAAACUGGGAAUUGAAAGGAAGGGGUGAGAGUGAGGACCCUCAUGGCGGUGCCAUUCAAAGCGACUCAAAGUAAGGAAAACGCAGAGGGGUGAACGGAGGGCCAAUUGUACUAACGAUGCUCUCUAGUACUUCUUCUCCGAAGCUGGAGAUAAUUAAAGAGCAGAAGUCACCAGUCACCACCCAGCUGAGAGUCCCAGAUGCACAGGGCUUAGACCAGCCAACCUACCCCAAGCCGGGGCCCGACGCACGCACGCCCACUUGGCGAACUCCACCGUCGCCCGGCAACGCGGCCAACGCAGGCCCAGAACAGCUGCACUUGGGAAGGAGGAAAACUCUUUAAACAAAUCAUUUUGG